rnacentral:rRNA from 1 species
AUACGUAGGUGGCAAGCGUUGUCCGGAUUUAUUGGGCGUAAAGCGAGCGCAGGCGGUUUCUUAAGUCUGAUGUGAAAGCCCCCGGCUCGACCGGGGAGGGUCAUUGGAAACUGGGAGACUUGAGUGCAGAAGAGGAGAGUGGAAUUCCAUGUGUAGCGGUGAAAUGCGUAGAUAUAUGGAGGAACACCAGUGGCGAAGGCGACUCUCUGGUCUGUAACUGACGCUGAGGCUCGAAAGCGUGGGGAGCAAACAGGAUUAGAUCCCCUGGUAGUCCACGCCGUAAACGAUGAGUGCUAAGUGUUGGAGGGUUUCCGCCCUUCAGUGCUGCAGCUAACGCAUUAAGCACUCCGCCUGGGGAGUACGACCGCAAGGUUGAAACUCAAAUGAAUUGACGGGG